CACGACUGACCCCCCGCGGACCCGCACGGUUUGGUUACACUGUUAAUGAUCACAGAAAUGGGCCUAUAUAGUCAACUUUAGGCCUAGUCUACUACUACCAAUCUGUGGUAUUAUAAGCAUUUCAACUGCCAGAGAAAUGGAUGGAAAUGACCGAUGGACAAAUAUCAACCUGCUAUUGAUAACUAGGCGAUGUGAGGGUGUUUUGCGAAUAUCAGACAACGACUGUUUCUAAACUUCAUGUGCAGCAGAACGCUCUCCUCUCUCUCCUUGCGCCCUCUGACCUGUAGGUGUUCUCUUUUCUCAUAUGGCAGAGAGGGAGAGAGACAGCGAGUGAGCGAGAGAGUUAGAACCCUCAAUGUCUCAAAUCCUAAUCCUGCGAUAAGAAACAGCAGCCUUAGUUGGCUACCAGCCGGUCCUGGCACCGUGGCAUCAGAGUCAGACCGAGGCUCCUGCGGUGGAGGAGUGGGUGCAGCACUCCAAAGAGACCUGGAGGGCUGUCCAGGAAUCC
rnacentral:lncRNA from 1 species